rnacentral:rRNA from 1 species
UACGAAGGGUGCAAACGUUGCUCGGAAUUAUUGGGCGUAAAGCGCACGUAGGCGGCUUUGCAAGUCGGAUGUGAAAUCCCUCGGCUUAACCAAGGAAGUGCAUCCGAAACUGCAGAGCUUGAGUACUUAAGAGGAUCGCGGAAUUCCCGGUGUAGAGGUGAAAUUCGUAGAUAUCGGGAGGAACACCAGUGGCGAAGGCGGCGAUCUGGGAAGAUACUGACGCUGAGGUGCGAAAGCGUGGGGAGCGAACAGG